CGUGCGUUUGACCCCUCACGGACUCAGAACCUUCGAUUGCCCUAAUUUCUCUGUUCUCUCUCUCUCUCUCUCUCUGUUCCGGGAAUCGAAUGAGCUUAUCAAGAAAUGAUCAACUGGAAUUCUCAGGGAUUAAGGAACUAGGAAGCUGAAGUCAAAUUUAAUUGCGGGGUUCUUCGGAUCAGAAUUAAAUAAUCCAAGCUUAUUUUGGCGGCCGUCGUUGACCCUUUUGACUGAUAUUUUAGUUGCUGACAGUUAUUUAGGAAUUAGGGUUUUGAGUAUUUGGACUUUGAAGUGGGAUAUUUCCCGUGGGAUUUCUUGGGUGUGGUUGAGAAUUUGAUUUCGAUGAUUGUGAAGAAUUCGGGAAUCAAAAUGUCGGGGGAUCGGCAUUCCCCUCGAAUUAAUACUUUCCUGAUAAAAGCUGAGAUUGAAAUGAAGCUUGGGCGCCAUAAUGCGGAUAAAUACUUUGAUCUCUUGAAUGCAUUUUUGAGUCUUAAGAUGAGCAAAUCUGAGUUUGAUAAGCGCUGCAUUGGCACAAUAGGGAGAGAAAAUCUCUACCUUCAUAAUUGCCUUAUUAGAUCAAUUAUAAAAAAUUCUCGCUUAUCUAAGACUCCCCCACCAAAAGAGAGCAAAGUAGAAGAUUCCUUCAAUUCUAAAAUCGCAAAUGGGUAUCAAAGAAGCUGUCUUCAGUCACUCUGUAGAGACGUGUUUCCCCAGUCACCGCGAAAAGGAAGAACUCCAAAUAUUCGCGAUCGUAAGUUCCGGGAUCGACCGAGUCCUCUUGGGCCUCAUGGCAAGAUACAUAGUGUUGCAUGUGAAGAUUCAGUCCCUAAAGUUCAAGAACAACAAAGUGCUACUGAGCUUCUUUCUGUCAGCAGCAGGCCUCCACGUGAAAUUAUCUCAGUGGAAGAUGGGGAAGAAGUUGAGCAGAUUGCUGAAAGCCCAAGCAUUCGUAGUAGAAGCCCUGUUAGAGCUCCUCUUGGCAUUCCUAUGAACUUAAAAGUGAAACGAAAAUCACUCAUUAAUGGAGCAGCAUCUACUCUGGACACUUGUCAUAGCUGUGGUGAGCUACCUGAUUCCACUUCUUUAAGGUACAGAUUAGAGCAGAAGUUGGAGAUGGAGGGUUGCAAGAUCUCGGCGGAUUGCAUUAACAUAUUGAACCAUAGCCUGAAUGUUUUCCUGAAGAGGCUGAUAAAGCCCUGUUUGGAAUCAGCCAGUUCGAGAGCUGGAAACAAAAACUUAAACCAAGUUGGUGAUCAGGUCAUUCCCCGUUUGAGUGGAAUGGGGCCAGCAAGUUAUGUACAAAAACCAACUGGGUCUGUUUAUGCGUCCAUGUUAGACUUCCGGGUUGCAAUGGAGUUGAAUCCGGUGUUGCUGGGAGAGGAUUGGCCAUCACAACUUGAGAAGAUUUCUUUGCGUGCAUCAGAAAAAUAAACUGAAACGUAGUAGCAGAUGGUCUGGAUGAGAACUUGAUCCAGGAUAUGGAGUUUUAACAUCACCAGCCUGAAGGCUUUUCAGCGCUACUGCAUAUCUACAUAUGCGGCACUCGUUGAGAGCUCUCUCCCGACAAGUCAGCCAAAUCUCACACGUUUAAGCCUGCAAGCAUGAGCACCAGGUCAGUCUCAAUACUCAAGAGAAACAAGGAACAAUAUGAUAUCCCACGAGCAAUAUAUUCACAUACACAGAAUAGGACUACAACAAUCAGGUAUAUCACAAUCCAAGGCAACAAAACACCAUAAUGAAAAGGACUACUUGUAUUAUUCAAAUCUAAGAAAAUAACCAUGCAAACGUUAACACAAAUAAUCAUAUAUUCAUUCUAAAUGUCUAGAGAAUACAAUUAUAACAAUAUCUCUCUCCCCCUUUUCCCCAUUACAUUGUCACUCCCUAACACUAUGCUUUUCAGUCUGUGCUAGUAUACUGGUUGUGCAUCCUCUAUUGAGUUUUUUGAGUUUAUCUUAUUAUUUUGUCUUUGAUGCUGAAUCUAAACAUGGGUGUAAUUUCUUUCCUUUGGAUUGUAAAAAGUGUGACAUGAAGUUGUAAUGAUCUUAUUUGAAAUGCCUUAUUGUUAUUGAGUCAAUACUGGCUCUAAACAUGGAAAUCAUUUCCUUCCCCUGGAUUGUAAAAAAUGAUAUACAGAAGUUGAAAUGGCCAUGAAAUCAAACUGCUUCCAACUUCAACGUAAAAUGUGAUAUUUGCAUCAUAUUUUAUCUGGCAAGCAAAAAUGGACCCUGGACAAAUAUCAUAGGAAAUCUUCACGAUUCUUGGUGACAGAAUCCCAUCCAGAAUGUUUUCUAGAUAGAGUAUUGUCUAGUUCUUUGUUUCACUUAUGUGUCUGCGCAUGCACGCACGCACGCGUACGCUAUAAACCUAGAAAUAUCCUUCUAAAUAACAAAGUGAUAUUUAUUUAAAAGUAAGAUAAACUCAAUAAUUAACAGAUUAGUAAACAAAAACUAGUAGCUCCAAAAUAUUUUAGCUAAUGAACCCCAAUUUAUACAAAUAUUGAGCUACUAAUACAUGUAAAAUUUUACUAAAAGUAUUAAAUUUUGUUCAUUGGUCCUCCUAUACCAAUUUACUGUGUAAAUUAAACAUUAUCAAACUAUCAAAGUUGCAGGCACAAAAUAAAAAAAGAUAUAUAAUUCAUCUUAUCCAUUCAAUUUUUUUGUCAAAAAACAAGUGCUUGACAUGUUUUGUUAAAAAAAAAAAUCCUUUUAGACAACAAUACACUGGCUUUUUAAAAAUAUGUUACACAUACCUAUCACUGCAACUUAUUAUGUUCGCACAGGUAUUAUAAAACAUUGUACCUGCAUUCCUAUUCUAAUAAUCUAUUAUAUUUACACAUAUUGUCAUAAAAUAGUCUAAUUCUAACUUUAUUUAACUUUUUUCAUAUUGAUUAGAACUAUCUGAUAUGAUAUCAUAUUUUAGUUAUUAUAAAGUUAUGUGACAUCAUAACCAUUAUAAGGCCAUCAUAUUCAUGUUGUAUCUGUAACAAUGAUAAUUUUUUGCAGCACUUCUUUGACAUGCAUCCAAUAUUUUAUAAAAGGGUAUGGUUUUUAAAAGUAGUUUUCAUAUUUGACACUUUUCUAACACUUCCCAAGUAGGGGAAACAUUGCACUUUUUGAUUUGCAAUGUGACUUUAUUUUAUUUUUCAUAAAACAUCAUAAUUAUCCCCCAAAAAAUUUGCAACUUCAAUUUUUGAAGAAUAAAUUACUGACUUUUUUAACAGAAAAAGAUAUGUAUUGGGAAUUUUACAAAAUAAAAAAAAAUUAUUUAUUAUAUUUUUAUAUAUAUAAUCUUAUAUAAAUAUAAAAUAUAUAUAUAAAUUUAAUAUGUCAUAUGUAAUACAUUUAAACAUAAUAUUAUCUGAUUUUAAUUUACAUUUCCUUGUUGUAUCUUGUAUCUUAUAUCUUAUAUAUUUAUGAUUUGUCAAGUUCAUGUUUUUUUGAUGUUUAAUAUUAAUGUUCCAUAUGUCCAUACUUUAUAAUUGCAAGGAAAAUAUAAACGCUUAUAAAUUACUUUUGUUAUCCAUAUAUUAACUUCUAAACUUGCAAUAAUUUAUCAAUUUGUUUUAAACAACUUCUAAACUAUAUUAGAAUUAUCCAAAUAUAUUAGUUAAAAUUAUUCACUUUCAAUCAUGUGUGACAGGCAUGAAAUAUUUACUAGUACACACACUUAUAUGUAUGUAUGUGCUUAUAUGUAUGUAUGUACGUAUACACCCACCCACCCACACUUUUGAAAAUGUUAUAAAGCAGGCAGAAAGCAAGAGCUGAGACAUGCAUCCAUGCAAGCUUAUUUUUCUGUGCGUCUUCCAAGUGAGAGAGCAUCACAAGGUAUUGUCUCAAUUCUUGUACGAGAUACCCAAUAUAUCUUCUCUUGUGGGGGUGCGUGCAACGGAAGCAAUAACUUCUGCAAGAUUGAUUAAUUAGCCCACUUCAAUAAUUUCAAGCUACUUUCACUGCUGUCGUGUCUCAAGGAUGCAAGUAACUUCUAGUUUGUGCAAGUGGAGAAACUCCAUCCUAGUAUGUGGUCCUGGCACUGCUUAGAGAGAGAGAGAAGCAUGGAGUAGGAAUGGGGUUUCUGGUUUGUUCAGGUUUGGGUUGGGAGUCUUCCUAUGCUUUGGGUUGCUAGCUUUGUUACGCAUGCCCACUCACUGUUUGCUUGAUGUUUCCUGAAGUAAGUGUUAUAGAUAGGUUAUGAUGCUUUUGCCAAGUCCCUGGAAGGUGGGAGAAGUAUGUCAAGUUGAGCUCCUCUUUCAAUGCCCUUGCUUCCACCCUCGCUGCUGCUUCAUCUUCUUCUUCCUCUUUUUUCUUCUCAGUUUCUUCCCCAAUAAAAAUGCAUGGAAAUAUGGGAUAGCACCUUAAUGGUCACCAGGCGAUCAUUAUUUCUUGUAUUUUCAUGCAUGCCCUAGUGCUUGAAAAUUGGAACUACAAUAGCUAGCUUCUUCUGCACAGAUUGGCUGUUUCAAAUUCUGCUUGCAGAUAAUGUUGGACUUGUUUCUUUGCACUGCACCGACAAAUGGACUUCCUUUUCUACAAUAUGACACGUUAAUUUCUUCUUUCUGGGAAGUAACUGCUGCUAAUAGCAUAAAACUUAAAAAUGAAGGCUUGUUGCUGCCUUCUAUACAUGGGCAUCUCUGGCCAUCAUGUGUUGAUGAUGAAAGAAAACUGACGGUUUAACUGCCCUGUUCCAUCCCAGUAAACUAUCUUUGGCUCAUGUGGCUGACAAGACUAGACUCCAAAUGCUUGGAAUAGCAGAGCCCCUGAUGGAAGGGACCGCAGGUUGAUACCAAAUUAAACAAUUUGCAUUAUUGAGUUAAAUCUUGUGGAAAGUGACUGCACUAUAUGCUUUUAUAUGUGAAACAUUGAUAUGUUAGAUGAUCAAUGGUUU